AUUGAACGCUGGCGGCAUGCCUUACACAUGCAAGUCGAACGGUAACAGGUCUUCGGAUGCUGACGAGUGGCGAACGGGUGAGUAAUACAUCGGAACGUGCCUAGUAGUGGGGGAUAACUACUCGAAAGAGUGGCUAAUACCGCAUGAGAUCUACGGAUGAAAGCAGGGGAUCGCAAGACCUUGUGCUACUAGAGCGGCCGAUGGCAGAUUAGGUAGUUGGUGGGAUAAAAGCUUACCAAGCCGACGAUCUGUAGCUGGUCUGAGAGGACGAUCAGCCACACUGGGACUGAGACACGGCCCAGACUCCUACGGGAGGCAGCAGUGGGGAAUUUUGAACAAUGGGCGAAAGCCUGAUCCAGCAAUGCCGCGUGCAGGAUGAAGGCCUUCGGGUUGUAAACUGCUUUUGUACGGAACGAAAAGCCCCGGGUUAAUACCCUGGGGUCAUGACGGUACCGUAAGAAUAAGCACCGGCUAACUACGUGCCAGCAGCCGCGGUAAAAC
rnacentral:rRNA from 1 species